rnacentral:rRNA from 1 species
UCCACCUGGCCCGGGAUGCGCAGCCUUCGGGUUGCGUACGCUCGCGUGUCGGAAUUCGGCCUUCCAUCCUUUCCAGGGAGCCUUGUGUGUCCUUUACUGUGAUGCGCUUGUGCGAUCUGGAUCAUUUACUUUGAAAAAAUUAGAGUGUUUAAAGCAGGCUUACGCCGUGAAUACAUUAGCAUGGAAUAAUAAUAUAGGACUUUGGUUCUAUUUUGUUGGUUUCUAGGACUAAAGUAAUGAUUGAAAGGGAUAGUUGGGGGUGCUAGUAUUCAGUGGCCAGAGGUGAAAUUCUUGGAUUCACUGAAGACUAACUACUGCGAAAGCAUU